UACGGGGGGGGCAAGCGUUGUUCGGAAUUACUGGGCGUAAAGGGCUCGUAGGCGGCCAACUAAGUCAGACGUGAAAUCCCCAGACUCAACCUGGGAACUGCGUCUGAUACUGGAUGGCUUGAAUCCGGGAGAGGGAUGCAGAAUUCCGCGUGUAGCAGUGAAAUGCGUAGAGAUGCGGAGGAACACCGAUGGCGAAGGCAGCCCCCUGGGCUAGCACUGACGCUCAGGCACGAAAGCGUGGGGAGCAAACAGG
rnacentral:rRNA from 1 species